GUAACGAACUCCGCCGUCUUCCUAAUUCUACAGAUUCCCUCUCAGCCAUUAGAGCUUCUGCUCUUCUCUGUACUCUAACUACUGCCGUUUACUUCAAAUCAUAAUGAAUCCUGAAUCACGAAACCUGCCUCGUCCUUCGGCGUUGGCCAUCGGAGAUCCUGGAAGCGCCGUCACUACCGCCGUCGAUGGCUUGAUUUACAACCUAAGCUUGAAAGAUGUUUUGACGAGGAAUCCCCUUGUCGCCGUCGACAUCACAUCUUACAACCGAUACCGCUCGAACGGCGCGCUGAGGAUUUCCCCUGCUUCCUCGGAGACGACGAUUUUCGCCGAUUCAGAUUCACAGCCCGAUCGCGGUUCCGUUUAUGAUUUCUCGCGGGUCAAUCAGUCUCUGAAAUCGUGUGAGGAGAAGAUGAAAGUACCCAAGGCAGAGACCAAGAAGUUUCUACCGUCGCAGUAGGAUCCCAAGCUUCAGCAAAUUAUUUUUAUUUUAGAUAAUUAUAUUUUAAAAAAUUUAAUUUAUGUUUAUCUUUUAAAUAAUAUUAAAUUAUUUUUUAAAAAAAAAUUAGUUUAAAUAUAAAUUUAUUUAAAAAUAUUUUUAAUUAUUAAUUUUAAAUUAAGUUAAUAAAAAUUUAAGUUUUUUUUUUUUUUUUUUUUCACUUAGAAAACUCA
rnacentral:lncRNA from 1 species